UAUCAAUGAUUGGGGAAAAAAAAUAAAAUUAGGGUUCCCCGAUUUCCAUAGAGGAGAGAGUCAAGUGUUUGUGAAAAGGUAAAGAGAGAGUCGAGUGUGAGAGACGAGUAGAGCAAAACGUAAGUCUUGUUAUUUAAAGACGUUAUUUUCGAUUGGUGGAUUGUGAAGAGACAAAACUCGAGGACGAGGUGGGCCAUUUCAUUUAAUAAAUGUGAUUUUGGGAGUAUCUGAGUUUUGAUUUUUCCCGUGAGCUAAAUGAUUUACAGUAGAUGAUUGGUUGCGAAGUCUCCAAAUGUUUGGAAUUUGCUGGUUUUAUAUUUCACAAAUGUAUUCCAAUCUUUUUUUUUUUUUUUGAUAAUUAAUGUAUUCCAAUCUUGUAUCUUUUUUUUUUGUGAAAAUUUGUAUCCUUUUGUGUUAUGACUUAUGAUAAUGAAAUUCCAGCUUUAAAAAAGAAAAAAAAAUCUGGUUCACGAAGUCUGGUGACUUCAUUUAUUAUUAUUAUUUAAUAUAUAUUCUGUGAGUUCGUUUAUACUCCAAUAGGAAAAUAAGAUAUUGCAACUACACAUCGACGGAAUAGCAGAGUCACACGUAAUAGGAAACACAUUCUAAGAGUAAUUAAUAAACUAACUUAUGAAUUACAUAAUUAACAAUCCCAUGUUAAACUUUUUUUUUUGAAUUACCAGGUGGUUCGGCCGAACUCUAAUUUCCGAAACCACAACAUAUAAUAUUAGCUUUGUCUCGAUGGUCACUCUGGAGACCUUUGGCACAAUGAUCAGAGUCCUUUAUAGUUGAGUUAAUGAUCUAUCGUUCAAUGUUAAACUAUUAGUGAGUGCGUCAUUGUCACUGACUACCUCUAUAUAAACAUACCACUACAAGAAAACAGCGGUAUUCUGACGGACAUUCCGACGGAAAAUGAAAUCCUCGGAAUAUACCGAGGAAUUUCCGAGGAAAUUCUGAGGAAACACAAAAUUGGGGUUCCUCGGAAUUUCCUCGGAAUAUACCGACGGAAUUCCGAGGAAACCUCAGUCCGUCGGAAUAUUCCGAGGAACAAUGUGUUCCUCGGAAAAAACC